ACACUAAGGUGAGCGAGAGAACUCUCGUUAAGGAACUCGGCAAAAUGACCCCGUAACUUCGGAAGAAGGGGUGCUAGCCAAGAGAUUGGUUAGCCGCAGUGAAUAGGCCCAAACAACUGUUUAUCAAAAACACAGGUCUCUGCAAAAUCGUAAGAUGACGUAUAGAGGCUGACACCUGCCCGGUGCUGGAAGGUUAAGAGGAGAGCUUAGCGUAAGCGAAGGUUUGAAUUGAAGCCCCAGUAAACGGCGGCCGUAACUAUAACGGUCCUAAGGUAGCGAAAUUCCUUGUCGGGUAAGUUCCGACCUGCACGAAAGGUGUAAUGAUUUGGGCACUGUCUCAACGAGAGACUCGGUGAAAUUAUAAUACCCGUGAAGAUGCGGGUUACCCGCGACAGGACGGAAAGACCCCAUGGAGCUUCACUGUAGCUUGAUAUUGAGUAUCUUUUAAACAUGUACAGGAUAGGUAGGAGCCAGAGAAGAUAGGACGCUAGUCUUAUUGGAGGCAAUGUUGGGAUACUACCCUUGUUUGAAGGAUGCUCUAACCUCGACCUGUAAGCCAGGCCAGGGACAGUGUCAGGUGGGCAGUUUGACUGGGGCGG
rnacentral:rRNA from 1 species